UUUAGAGAAAAUUGAAAGUUUGCCAUUAUUAAUAUUUUUAAUAAUAAUCUGAUUAGUUGUUUUAAUGCCAACUAAUGAGAAACUAUGAGGGGGGAUUUCUUAAUUAUAAAGAAGCUGCAUUCUAAACAUCUUAGAGACUAUGACAUAAACAAACACCGGGAAAUUUCACUAAGACUACACUGCGAGCAAGCAAAAUACCAAACUCAAAAUGAAAGUGAAUCUCAAAUAUAGCUCCAUAGUAAGCACAAGGAUAAUUAUCUAAAUGAGUGUCUUCACCUCCGAAUGACAAGAAAAUAUACUUUCAUUAUUCACAAACUCGUAUUUUAAUAGAAACGACAAAAUAUAGGAGUUCUAGUUGCUAGUAGAAUAUGACAUGGGUAAAGCUUUGUGAAUACAUUAGAAACCAAAAUAAAGUGAACAACGUCUUUAUCUAUGAGAAGGCUGCCACCGAGAUUAGCUGAGAGGAAAAGAAGAAAGGAUUUAGCAUGUUCCGACUCAAGACUAUAUCCAGUUGAAAUUUAUUUUGGGAUUAAUUACUAGUGUUGGUCAUCCCAAAUUCUUUCAAGCACUCUUAAAGUUCAAGACUAAAAAAAAAAAUCCUUGAUGUUGAAUUUCAAAGAGUGGUUUUUCAAUGAAAAACAUAAUGUCUUGCGUGAAUUACUCAAACAUCAACAAUAGAGAAAAAAAAAAUAGGAAGAUCAUACAGUGGGCUAUAACUCCACAAUGAAGAAUUGGAUGGCCUUUGAGGUAAACAUCAAAACACAGUCCUCUUUUAUUAGAAGUGAAAUCAUUCCUUAACACAAGAAAAGCAUAAGAGGAGAAGAACUAGAUUACGUCUUAUUAUUUUAUUUUAUUUUUGAAAUCUGGACAAGUAACUAUAGACAAGCCAAAAUAGAACUGACUUUGUCUUGGAAUUUGAUUCGAGAGGGAAUUCUCAACAUUACCAAAACCCAGCAUAUUAACAACGCAUAUUCAUGAAUUUGAUUUGGAGACAGUGGACAAAGAUUCCAAACUUGGACUAGAAAAUGAAUCCCCAUAUUAACACACUUACAGAUUCAUACUCACACAAAAAAAUGACUCCCAAAAUCAUAUUCUUAUCAACAUACAGCAAAACAGUGGCAUCAAAUGCUAUAAUCAGAAUUUGAAACCAAAUCAGGCCGUAUAUUCACAAAAUCAGUUCAGAUCAUAGGUGAAAGAGAUGAAAUAAAGGAACUAAUUCUAUACGUCUCACGUAUUUUGAACAUGAAGCACCAGUAGAACUGAAAACUUAAGAUGAGACUAAGGCCUUUGAACUCAAUUUACCAAACUGAAAGGGGGCUAAGACGACUUAUUAAUUUACGGAUAAGUUAAGCUAUGAAACAAAUCCUUGAUUGAAGAGUUUUGACCAGACGACACAAUCAUAUUCUAAAAAAACACUAUCUUUGGCGUCGCCAAGUUGUCAAAGUGGAGAUGAUUUAAUUUCUAAAUUAAAAUUGACUCCUAUAUCAGUACUUCUCUGGACGAAAACUUUUAGAAGGUUAUUUUCUUAGACUAAUUAUCUGAAAGGAAAAAAAAAUUAUAUAUGUAACCUCAUAUAGUAUUACCACAUGAAAGAAAAUUAAAACUUAACAUCCUGGAGAUGAUGAACCAAAAGGUAGAAACAUGACAAACAAGCUUCUUUUUUAACAGGAUAACAAACAAACCUUUCUGGUAAGCGAUAUAAAAUUUGCAUUCAUUACUGAUAAAUCACCAAUACGUCAGUACAAAAUUAGUUGGGAAUAACAUUUGUGGUCAUCGAGAAGUUCUUUAGGUAAAUAGUAAAUUUACUUAACACAUGAUCUAAUUCUCAAAUAGCAAUAUCUAGAGCAAGAUGAACGAACACGUAGAACAUUUCACAUAUACACAACAAAACAGAGAAAUACGUGGAAAAAGGGAAUUUUUACUCUAAUAGCCUCAGAUCCAAAUUAGCAGGAAUAGAAUUUAAACUUAAAUCACGAAAAAGAAACUCCUAACAAACCAUAUCUAAUCCUGAAUCGAGUUAAACCACGUGUUCAGUUUUCAUCCACCAAAUGAUUUUACGAAACCAGCACCAUGUUUUAUCCAUAAGAUAGGGGAAGCAACAACAAACACAAACUUAAAAAAAAUCAAAUACAAACCGAAUUUCAAAACCAGUCACCGAUAACUUGAAGAUCGAAAUUCAUACAGCCAUCCAUUUUAACAACAUCAACACCGAACUUUAACGAAUUUAAACUUAAACUUAACUAACAUGCUUACUGAACCAAACAAGACAAAAAAAAGAGGACGGAGGUGAUACGGGAUACACACCUUUUUGGAGACAGCAAACUGGGCUAGACGUCAAGAUACUUUUUCAGCGAUAAACUCGAGCACGAGGAACGAAAUUAAACUAGAAAUCAACUUUUCUUUUUUGACCCUUUUUUUAAAUUUUCGCUCUGGAUUUCAACCUCUUCCAAGAACCUUUUUUCUCCCUGAACUUUCUUCACGAAUUUCUUUAGUUUUCUCGCUAAUCUCUCUUCUUUUCUCCCUGAUUUCUCUCUUCUCGAAACCCUCUAUUUUUCUCUCGAAUUCACUUGCUGUUUUUCAGAUCUCCCCCCUUGUCCUCAUGGAGAGUGAGAGGCUUCAAUUUAUAGGUGAAUCCGGACUUGAAAAGUCCGGAUUUGAAACUCAAACUAAUCAAAUAUGAUAAAACAAACUCGGUUUGAAAUUGAUUCGAAGUUCUGAACGGAUCUCUUACUUUUCAGGCCAUUAAAUGAAGAUUUGACUCCUUCUUUCCGUUGUGAUGCAUAUUUAGGACUGAUUUUUCUGCUCUUGAAGAAUUUGCAAGCUGGAGGGGCUGAUUUGGGGGGAGAUUCUCGCAGGUGUGGCAGCAGCCAAGUCUAUCAUGGCUGCAGGCUACGGCGAUUUGGGGUUUUUUGGUUCGAGGGGUGGAGAAGAUACACGAAGAGAAGAAGGAGAGAAAGGGAGGUGGUCAUGGUUGUUGUUUUGGGAAAGGGUUGAUGGAGGUGUAUCACUGUCUUUUGGGAAGAAGAGAAUCACGCGUGUUUAUGCUUUCUCUAAGAAAGAGAAAGAAACGGAUGAAAGCAAUUAAUGUUUAAAACUUGAAAAAUCUUGACCACUUUUGGUCCGUUUGAUCUUUGAUCUGACGGACCUAAAAAUUGUAUCUUAAAAUAAUAAAUAGUAAAAAAAAAAAGAAAUGCUUUUAUAUAUAUAUGUGUGUGUGUGUAAAAUGUUGAUUAAAAAUAAUUUUUUUUAUCCAUUCAAUAUUUGAUCGGAACAACACAAAUUCAAAAAUACAUAAAAGGUAGAUUAAUAUUGGAAUAUAUAUAGAUGUAUAUAUAGAUAUAGAUAUAAUUAUACAAUUGAACUCGGGCCCUCGGGUUGGGAAGAAAAAUUAGCGGACUAAAUUAAUUUGUGCUAGUCGGGUGUUUUUGGACUAGUUUUGGAUCGGACGAUUUUGAAGAGAUUACCCUUAAAAAUAAUAAUAGCAACAAAAUAGGAAAAAAUAAAAAUGUAUGCAUAUACGGAUAAAUAUUUGAAAGGUUGGUUUUAAAAUGACUUUUUUUAUCUGAUCGGAUGGUUCGAAUUUAAUUUAAAGAGAAGGGAAAAAGAGAAAAAUAAAUACAUAAAUAAGAGAUAGUUAAAUAAAUAAAUAAAUAAAUUAUAUAUCUACAUAUACAAAAAUAAUUAAAAAUUUCAGAAUUUCUCAGAUUCAAAAUAAAUCGAUGGAUCAGGUUAAAUUUCGUCUGUUGAGGCAAAAUGGUAAAGCAAACAUAUAAAUUAUACUAAGUUAGGACUGAUAUUUGGGAUCUGGGCUGAAAUUCAUAAAAUAAGAGUUGGGUUCGGGUGAAAAAUAAAAUAAAUAAAAUAAAAUCCCGAAUACUCUUUUUCUAUUGAAAUUAAAUUUAUCGAUGCUCCCUGAUAUCCUAAAAAUUAUUUAAAACUAUUUUUAGUUUAACGUAUAUAAAUUGCAGACAUAAUUUGUACACACAUUCAACUUAAUAUUUCGCGACUUUCCUAUUAACAAAAUACAUAUAUGUAUAUGUAUAUAUGUGUGUGUGUGUGUGAAAAUAAGAAUAUAAUAAAAUACAUAAAAAUAAGAAUAUAAUAUAUGUACAUCUUAUUAAAAAUAUAUUUUGUGUAAUAAAAUAUACCUAUAAGGUCACAAUACUGCCCCAAAAAUAAACUUAGAAAGAAUGCGAAUGCGACCACCAAAAGAUAUAUAUUUUAUAAUUUUAUUGUCAAAAUAUUUAAUUAUUAAAAUAGUUUUAUGAAUAAAAAUAAAUUCUCUUCUUAUCAAAACUUGUAGAAAUAGAAAUAAAAAUACCCAAUCUUAUUUUUAUUUAAUUUUUGAAAAUUAUUUAGGUCCAAGAAGCAUCGGAAAAGUAAUUAAAGAAAAAAGGGCGAGUUAAAAUUGGGUGUCAACAGUUGCCCCUGAGGAACCAAAGAUUUGUGUGAAAAUCUUUAGGCACUCACGUUGACGUAACUAAUUUUACCUCUGGCGGAACAAAAAUAUUUGAAAGAUUAUGGCUGGGCUCCAAUUUUUGAGCUGCCUACAUAUCUCGGGCUCCACAAGAAAUCAGGUCAUUUGUAGUUUGAAUUAUAGCAAAAUUUUGAUAUUUAUCAAAAUUUGCCCCAGUAUAGAAUUAUGGUAACACUGGGUUCCUUCAGGAUGAUAACAAACUUUCAGCACGAAUGAAAUGGAUAUGGGUGCAAGUCCAAAAUGGACUGUUAGAAGUAGUUGGGAUGAGAAGACGUUGGAUAGUGAUAUCUGCUGAGGAUCUUAAGAGAAAAUGUGAUAACAAUUUUUCAAAAAUUGCCCCAGUGCCGAAUUAAGACGACACUGAGUGAUGACAAAAAUAAAAAUGAAACUUGAGUCGAGUUGAGUUGAGUUUCAUUGCCAGAAUCCUUGACGUAGCUAGGGAUGCUUGACAUUCCGCUAGCUUGCCCAGUUUGCUGCUAAGAGGGUAGUUCCACGUUGUACUGCAUAGUCCUGCAAAAUAGAUAACAGGGUGAAAAGUACCUGUUGUUCAAAAAUUUAUAAAUUGAAAUUGUAAUAAAAAGAGUAGAGUUUAGAUAUUCAAACUAAUAUUGUCUCUAUCUGUGGAGGCCUCUGACUGACGAGGCAAUAACUGAAAUAUAGAUAGCCUCUGUCGGUUGAAAUAUAAAUAACCUCCGUCAGCUGAAAUGUAAAUAGCCUCCGCCGACUGAACUGUAAAUAGCCUCCAUCGGCUGAGCAACUUCUUGAAUAUAAAUAGCCUCUGUUGGCUGAAAUAUAAAUAGCCUCCGUUGGCUGAAAUGUAAAUAGCCUCCAUUGGCUGAAAUAUAAAUAGCUUCUGUCGGCUGAAAUAUAAAUAGCCUCUGACAGCGGGAUAUUUUCCCAAAGGUAAACUUCCCCGUAUUUUCCAAAGCGGCCCUCAGUCUGAACGAGAUGAUGGUAUUGCUGUUGGAACUUGAUGCUGUUGUGAUACUGGCUUUCUUGCAUGCUUGCUAUGGUGCAGGCAUCUAAUUGGCAGGCUAUGCUUUGUUUGCUGAAAUGCGAUUCUCUGAUAUGUCGGAGUGUUGCUUCACUUAUAUACAUUCUUUGAUUUGUGGCGGGCGUUCCCCCUGCUGGUGCACAACUCCCGAUAUGGCAGAGAGUCGUAUUUCUCAUUCGCAUCCUCUGAUAUGGCAGAGGAUCACUUUGCUUGCUUAUUUACAGUUUUCGUAAUCUGGAACUCGACUUUGUUUGCUUAUAUAAAUUCCUCAAAUGCGAAAGCUCGACUUUUUUGCUUAUAUACAGUCCUUUGGAAUGUGAAGCUUGACUUUGUUUGCUUGUAUACAGUCCUUUGGAAUGCGGAAGCUUGACUUUAUUGAAAUCAGACGACACUCUCCGAUUUGCAGAGUUAUUCGGGGUAGUUAGACGAUGAUUCUCCGAUUAGCAAAGUUAGUCAACGCAGUCAGGUGGUUGGCUCCGAUUGGCGGAGUUUUGUUGGGACAAGUAAACAACCUAAUCUUCCUAUGAGGAUUCUCUUUUCUUAGUUUUCGACUCAGGUCUUCAAAAUGUACCUGCGAAAGAAUUCGAAUAAAACUGUUAGAGCUUGUGAGGAUUAGUAUUAAUGUAUGUAAAGAGAAUACAGGAAGGGAAGAAUAUUUGUCUCUUGUCGUGGUGGUAAGCCGCAUGAUGCCACUAAUCCUAUCCCAAAGCUUGACUUGACGUAGCCUUCCAAUUCCUAUUUUUCUGCGCUCAAAGAAAAAUUCUUAGUUGGGAGAGGGUGUUGAUUUGUGUCGACUUAAGAAUCCCAGCUUUAUUUACAGAAUUCUCCAACACUCCCUCGGUUGCUCAACCACUCCCAAAUCUGGAGUCUCAGUAGGUGGAAAAGUUGAAAGUAUGGUGAAAAAUACAUAUAUGUAUAUAUGUUUUCGCAAAUAUUACGUAUAUAGUAAGUAUAUAAGUAAUCCCUUAUCAUUUUUAGAUUAUGACACGUUCGGAAAUCCGUUAAGCCUCCAUUUGUUGAUCGUGACCCACGUAGCUUUAUCCUUCAAGUGGAGCUGCUCUGACUGUCGAUGCUACGAUGAUUCUGGUGGUGAGAUCUCUCAUAUUUUGGGGCUAUACUACGAGUGACAGGGGAUUUUCCUAAAGGUAAGACCGAACCUUUUAGGUUGCCUACGUAUCCUUAUAACAGGAAUCAGGUUCGCACGUAGUUCGAUUAUAACGGGAAAAUUAAAAAUAUGUAAUGCAGUGACCGAUCCUGACUCAGGCUGCCUACGUAUCCUAAGAAUAGGAAUCAGGUCAUAACGUAGCUCGAUACAAAAGAUAAAGUGAAAUAAUGCAAUGACCGGGCCUGACUCAGGCUGCCUACAUAUCCAAGUGGAAUAAGGUCAGGUCGUAGUUCAUUACAAUGAAAAGGUAAAAAUAUGAAGGGACCAAAUCUGAUGUGGAUCGCCUACGUAUCCCACCGUGGGAAGUCAAGUCGAGCGUAGUUCUAAAUAUAUGAAAGAAUGAUGUUUUUGGAUUUUCUAAGGAGAACCAAACCCUAUACGGGCUGCCUACGUAUCCCGCCGUGGGAAGUCAGGCUAAUACGUAGUUCUGUUAUAUUAGAGAAAAUGCAAAAGUUCAAAGAAAUAACUACUAUUCCUAAUGUCUUCAAAUGUAUUGCUUCUUGAUGGCGUCUGAAUUGAUCGACUUCGUGCUUACUGUACCAUCCAUCUCCGCAAGUAUCACUGCUUCUCCUGAGAGUACUCGAUGAACUAUGUAAGGACCUUGUCAAUUUGGCGUAAAUUUCCCUUUGGCUUCAUCUUGGUGAGGGAAUAUCUUCUUCAAUACCAACUGUCCUGGUGUGAAUCGACGAGGCUUGACUUUCUUGUUGAACGCCUUGAUCAUUCUAUUUUGAUAGAGUUGACCAUGACAGACUGCAUCUAACCUCUUCUCGUUAAUGUGCAUCAACUGCUCGAUCCUGCUACGAAUCCAUUCAGGGUCGUCUAGACCAACCUCCUGAAUGACUCUCAAUGAAGGUAUCUUUACUUAUGUAGGUAUCACUGUUUCCGACCCAUAAACCAACAUGUAGGGAGUUGCCCCAGUAGAAGUUCUGAUUGUGCUGUGAUAUCCAAGUAAAGCAUAUGGCAACUUCUCAUGCCAUUCCCUAUUAACGUCUACUAUUUUCCUCAAGAUCCUCUUGAUAUUCUUGUUUGCAGCUUCAACCGCUCCAUUUAUUUGUGGUCGAUAAGCCAUGGAAUUUUGAUGAGAGAUCUUACAACUUUCGCAAAUCUCUCUCAUUAGGUCGCUAUUAAGAUUGGCUCCAUUAUAUGUUAUAAUUGACUCUAGAAUUCCAAACCGACAGACUAAGUUGUUGCGAAUAAAAUUUGUUACCACCUUCUUUGUUACGGCCUUAUGUGUUGAGGCCUCAACCCACUUUGUGAAGUAAUCGAUAGCGACCAAGAUAAAACGAUGUCCAUUGGACGCAGGAGGCUCUAUGGGCCCAAAACAUCCAUUCCCCAAGUAACAAACGGCCAAGGAGAACCCAUCACAUUGAGUUCGUUUGAUAGAACUCGUAAUAAAGUCUCCCUGAACUUGACAUUGGUGACACUUCUGCACAAAUCGAAUGUUAUCCCUCUCCAUAGUUAUCCAAAAGCAUCCAGAUCUUAAAAUCUUCUUCGCAAGCAUGAAACUGUUCAUAUGGGGUCCACAGGUUCCUACAUGUAUCUCCUCUAACAAUCUCGUAGCCUCCGUGGCAUAGACGCAUCGUAGCAAUCCUAGGUCUGGAGUCCUCCUAUAUAGGAUUUCCCCAUUGAUACAGAAGUAAUUGGCCAUCCUUCUUAAAGUCAUCUUCUGCUUGCCAGCAGCGUCUUCUGGAUGUUCUCCCGCUCUGAGUAACUUCUUAAUAUCAUAGUACCACGGCUUUCCAUUUGGCUCUUCAUCUAUAUGGAAACAGUAGGCUUAUUGGUCGUGUAUCUCCACUUUGAUGGCAUCGAUGUAAUUCGUAUCUGGAUGCUGAAUCAUUAAAGAUAGUGUCGCCAAGGCAUCGGCGAACUCAUUUUAAAUUCGAGGGACAUGCUUGAAUUCGAUCUUCGUAAACCUUUUGCUUAAUUCCUUAACACAUUGCACAUAAGGAAGGUUUUUGACAUUCUUGGUGGUCCAUUCUCCUUACACCUGAUGGAUCAAUAAAUCUGAAUCUCCUAUCACCAAUAACUCUUUAAUGUCCAUCUCUACUGCCAUCCUAAGACCGAGAAUGCAAGCCUCAUAUUCUGCCAUGUUAUUCGUGCAAGGAAACCUAAUUUUCGCCAAGAUUAGGUAGUGUUGACCUAUUUCUGAAACUAGGCCUGCUCCAAUUCUGACUCCUUUAAAAUUUACUGCUCCAUCGAAGAACAUCCUCCAUCCAUUAUACGGCUCUGAUAUGUCUUCUCCUGCAAACAACACCUCUUCCUCGGGAAAAUAGGUAUUGAGUGGCCUGUAAUCUUGAUCCACUGGAUUUUCUGCAUGGUGAUCGGCCAAUGCUUGUCCUUUGAUGACUUUUUGUGUCACGUGCACAAUGUCAAACUCACUCAACAAAAUCUGCCAAUUUUCUAGUAGGCAUUGACUUCUGAAUGAUGUACUUAAGUAGAUCCAUCCUCGAAAUCUAGUAUGUGGUAUACGCGGACAGGUAGUGCCUUAACUUCUGAGCGACCCAAGUUAAUGCACAACAAGUUCGCUCCAACAAUGUAUACCUUGAUUUAUACGGUGUGAACUUCUUACUUAGGUAGUAAAUGGCUUGCUCUUUCCUCCCUGUAUCAUCAUGUUGCCCUAACACACAUCCAAAGGCAUUAUCCAUAAUGGAUAGAUAUAACAACAACGGCUUUCCCAGUUCUGGUGGAACCAAUACUGGUGGGUUGGACAAAUACUCCUUGAUUUUGUCAAAAGCCUUCUGACAUUCUUCAGUCCAUCUGGUGGUAACGUCUUUCUUCAACAACUUAAAUAUUGGUUCACAAAUUAUUGUGGACUGAGCUAUGAACCGACUAAUGUAAUUGAGUCUUCCCAAGAAGCUCAUUACGUUCCUUUUGGUCUUAGGAGGUGGUAAGUCUUGGAUUACUUUUAUCUUGGAUGGGUCCAACUCUAUACCUCUUCUACUACCAAUGAAUCCCAAUAAUUUUCCUGUGGGAACUCCAAAGGUGCAUUUAGCUGGAUUCAACUUUAGGUCAUACCUUCGCAUCUUUUCAAAGAACUUUUGUAAAUCAUCUAAAUGGUACGAACUCCUUUUAGAUUUGAUGAUGACAUCAUCCACGUACACUUCGAUUUCUUUAUGAAUUAUAUCAUGGAAAAGAGUAGUCAUGGCUCUCAUGUACGUUGCACCGGCAUUCUUGAGUCCAAAUGGCAUUACCCUAUAGCAGUAUACUCCCCACGGAGUAAUGAAGGUUAUUUUUUCCGCAUCAUUCUCGUCCAUCAAAAUUUAAUGCUAUCCCGCAAAACAAUCAAUAAACGACUGCAACUCAUGUUUCGCAUAAUUAUCAAUGAGAAUGUGAAUGUUUGGGAGAGGGAAAUCGUCUUUUGGACUAUCCUUGUUGAGAUCUCAAUAAUCUACACAUAUCCUUAUCUUUCCGUCCUUCUUUGGUACGGGCACGAUGUUGGCCAGCCAGGUGGGAUAAGUUGUGAAUCUUACGACAUUGGCUUCUAUCUGCUUGGUCACCUUCUUCUUGAUUCUCAAACUCAUAUCAGGUUUGAAUUUCCUCGUCUUUUGCUUCACUGGUGGGCAUGCGGGGUUAUUCGGUAGUUGAUGCGAGAUGAUAUCAGUGCUUAGACCAGGCAUGUCGUCGUAAGACCAAGCAAAUAUAUUAAUGUAUUGCUUGAGCAGACUUAUCAAUUUCUGCUUUCUUUCGGCCUCCAAGUGUAUGCUGACUCGUGUUUCCUUUGUCAUUUCUCCAUCGCCCAAAUCGACCACUUCAGUUUCGUCCAUAUUAGGCUUUUUCUGACUCUCAAGUUGCUCGAUCUCCUGCGGUAGGUUUUCAGGCAUCAUGCUCUCAUCGUACUCCUCAUAAUCUUGUUCAUCGCUUGUAUUUUACUCAACAGAUUCGUUACAUGUCAUAAUCGUGGAACGAGGAUUUUUUUAUUAACAUUUGUGCUGAAAAGUACAAAAAGUGAGUAAAGUAAAUAGAUAUUAAAAAUAGGAAAAUAAGUUUUGAAAAUAAGGACUUUUAUUAACAAAAGCACUGGGCUUUGACAAGAGGCAAGUGGCAAAAGAGCUUCGGCAUAACUCAAGCCUCAAUUGGUCAUGCAAACAAAAUAAUAAUUAUUUUUUUAAAAAAAAACAACACUCCCACACUACCAAGACUCCUGACGAAACAGGGAUGGCCUGAUGGUUCAGUUCUGCAAGGCUUCUCCACGCUCGACAUCAAGGAUGGUGAGCUUUUGGAAAUCCAUCUCUGAUUCUUCUUCGAUCACGGCCACAAAUAAAUUUCCUAUUCCUUCUGUAGUAUCUUCAUCAUCUAUUUGUUCUGAAACCAGGACUUUGGCUGGCACAAAUAUCCUCAUUCCAAAUCCUUUACUGCAGGCUGCUCCAGAAAUAGGCUCAUAUCUAAGCCCUGUGGUACCCUUCUGCUUCUUUAAUUGAAUUGGCUCGACUAUACCACCAUCUCUGGGUCCUAGUCCUGUCUUGGGCUGAUACCCAUAUUUCAACAUCUCCGAUGCAACCAUCUUUUCAGCAUUCGACAUUUUUGGUUCAGCUGGCAUUACCUUCUUAUUGAUCUUUAUAUCUUGCAUGAUCUCCAGAGUAUGGACAGUGGCUCCAUCUAACUCUUCGGUGACUAGGACUGAAUUGACAGAAUAAAUGGGAUGACUGAGUUCUCCAUGGAUAGUAACUUCUGUGCGACCCCAUUCAAACUUCAUGCACUGAUGGAGAGUGGAAGGAACGAAUCUUGCCAUGUGGACCCAUGGCCUUCCCAGCAAUAGGUUGUAGCUAGAUGACACAUCCAUGGCCUGAAAUAAGAUAGGAAAUUUUGCUGGUCCUAUCUGCAGUGUUAAGUAAAUUUCCCCAAUGACACUCUUUUGCGACCCAUCAAAGGCUCUAACCUUAACCUUACUCUCCCUUAUAUCUUCUAUAUUCACACCCAAAUCCCUUAGAGUGAAGAACGGACAGAUAUUGCAACCCGAACCACCAUCGAUCAAGACCCUAUUCACAAUUUUAUCAUGAUAUCUAACCACAAUAUGAAGCGCUUUGUUGUGUGUAGCCCCUUCUGACGGUAACUCAUUAUCAUCAAAAAAGACCUUAUUUGUCUCUACCACUCAUCCGAUUGUUGCAGCCAAAGUCUCACUAGUUGUCUCAUUUGGUAUGCUAAUCCCAGAUAACAUUUCCAUCAAAUCAUUUCUAUGGGAUUCAGAACUCAUAAGCAAGGACAUGGAGGAUAUAUAGGCCGGCGUCUUCUUGAGUUGAUCUUCGACUGAAUAGUCCUUGGGAUGCAUUUUUUUCCAAAAUUCUACAGCUUUGGAAUCUGUGAUAUUUCUCCUUGGGUUCUGAUCUUUCCCGAGAACUCCAUGAUUUGGUUCCUCUAGUGCAGAACACCUUCCCGACCUGGUCAUCCCUUGAGUCGCAGCAGCGUCUAUCAUUUUUCUCUUGGUUUCAGCUUGAUAGUCCCAUGGGAUUGCCUUGGUGUCAUAGUCGGUCCUCCCAGUGGCUAAUGUGGUUACUACGACUCUCGGCAGGUAGGUAUGAACAUUUAUAGGCUCCCUCAACGAAACUGUGAUAAAUGGUUGUGAUGGGGAUGCAGUGGCGAUCUCCUCAGCGCUCCAUGUAGGCAUAAUAGUUUCUUCCAAUUCAUACUCCUCCUCUAGAGUAAUCAUGUUGACUUCCCAAUUUUCAUUUGGCAGGGGGUUAUUGUUCACAUUGGGAGCUGGGACGGUGGAUUUUAUUAUACCCCUUCUUAUCAGAGACUCAUUUUGAUUUUUCAAGCUGUAACAGUCUUCCAUGUCGUGCCCUUGGACUCCUGAGUGAUAGGCACACCUCUUGCUACUGUCAAAGUUUUGAGAGGUCGGAUCAGGGGUCUUUCCCUUAAUUGGAUUCAACAAAUCGGAAACCUUCAACCAUUCAAACAAUUAGGCUAAAGGUUCUGCAAUUGGUGUGUAGGUGCGGGUAUUUCUAGCUUCAAAGUUUAGACAUGGUCUGGGUGCAUAGGCUGGUCUAUUUUGGUGAGCUGGACCUUGGACAGGGGCGUAUGGUCUUGGUGGAUUCUGGUAUGCUGGAGCUCUAGGUGGAUUAUAAUGCAGUUGAGUAUUGUAUACUGGGACGUGUGUAAUAAUUUGGGGGUUGUUAGGGUAACGUUAAGAAGGAUUUCCAGGUUGGUAGUAUGGUGUGGCAGUUGAAACAUCCUCCCUUUUCUUCUUAUUGCCAUUAAUGGAACCAGUUUGUAUGGCCUUACUCGCAGCUUGCAAUGCAGCCAUAGAUUGGAUCUUUCCUGACUUGAUGCCUUCUUCUAUGAAAUCUCCCAUUUUGACUAAUUUUGCAAAAUUUUGGCCCAUCAUCGACAUCAUUUUGUCAAAGUAAACACCCUCUUGUGCUCGGAUGAAAUAUUUGGAGAGCUCACUUUCAUCAAGUAGAGGUUGGAUCCUUGCAGCCUCAGUCCUCCAACGCCAUGCAUAUUCUUGAAAUUAUUCGGACGGCUUCUUCUGUAUGUUAGCCAAUGAGAACCUGUGUGGGGAAAUCUCAGUGUUAAAUCUAAAGAGACUCAUGAAAUCCUCAAUCAUUUCCUGCCAUUCACGCCACUUAUGAGGGCCGUGUCGGAUGUACCAAGUCAAAGCUUCUCCCGCCAAACUUCGAAUGAACAACUUCAUUCUGUCAAACACUUCAAACUUUGGUGGUUUGUAUCCCUCUGGCAUGUUGAUGUCAGGAUGAAUGGAUAAGUCAUCGUAGUCCAAACUUUCAGUCCCUCUAGUGACUUGCAUUUUUCUGAAUGCUCCCUUUAGACUCUCAAGAUGGGUUGCUAUCGACCCUUCUUCACUUGAUUGGACAUCUUUUCCUAAUCUUACAUACUGAUCAACUUCAUACGGAACCUUAAGAGUCGCAGAUGUUGUGAAGAGGUAAUCCUAUAUUUUUGCCAGAGGUAGUCCAAUGUUUCAAUUAAUUUGAUGAUAAACGGUCUAUUUAAACACAGUUGGAUUUGAUAAUAAUCACAACUUUCAUUGAACAAUGGUGUUUCAAAAGGUUACAUCAAAAUAUAUCAGCAACAGCUUGAAAAAAAGUGAAAGGGAUGGCCGCAAGGGCUUAUAAUAGGGUGGGCCAUGUGGCUCUUUUUAGGGAAUAUAAAAGUACAAUAGGACACGAAGUCUAAGGCCAGGUGGCAUCAUCAUCAUCAUCUCUGUCCUUAUCAAAAUAGGAUUUUGGAUAGUACUCCGGGGAUCCUUCUAAGUCAUGAUCAGGUGCCGAGUCUACAUUCAUCACCCCUCUGUCUUCGAGAUCAUAAAUAUUGGAGCCUAUCUCCGAGCCUUCCUGAGGGUAUUCUUCCAUCCAUUCUGGGUCUUCCUCAGGGUCUUCUUUGGGGUCUUCUUCUUCGUUCUCCUCCUCUGGGUUUUCCUCUGGAUCUUUUUCAGGAUCCUCCUCGAUCACUGGAAUUAGAUAAUCAACAGAACCUAGGAUUAUUUGGUUAUGCAUGGGUGUAGUGAGAUCCAUACAGGAAAGCACCUCUCUCUUAACCCAUUGGACCCACCAAGGAUCUGUGAGUCCUCGAAAACCAUAUUCGCUCGGUCUAGCUACGUGACUCACGGUGGUGCGCCACGCAUAAUAUUCUGGUGUGCACCAUUUCUCUCCUUCUAUCUUCAACAUAACCAUGUAAUCCCACUCUAUUUGCAGGUUCGCCACUCAUGCAGCUGGAAUCAAAGUAUCAUAAUUGUCUUCAUGAAGUACCAUUGUGGACCAAAGCGGGAUAUCCUGGACGACGCCAAAUUAUCUAAAAACACGCAGAGGUGCAUAUGGUUGGAUACCACGCAACUCAAUGAAGUACAGAUUCCUAGUUCUGAUGAAGGCAUAUCCCCCCAUCCAAGAGUAUUUUCAUUGGAUGGAAUCCCUAGUAAGAUUGGUUAAAAACUCGCGCCACUCCUCCUCCCAAGUUGGCACGAUCCAAUACCUUAAGCAUUUCUCAUGACUUUGGAUCCGGCUGUGUGCAUCGAUCGUACAGUCCAUCUGUGGAAGGCGACAAUAGAAGUGUUCUAUUGCCCAGAUCUGUAAUAGUAGGUGAACCCCUAAAGAAGUCAUGUCCCCUAGAGCAGGCGGAUAACGACCGAAAUACCUCUGUAAGUAUCAUGUGCACUAAAGUGAGCCUCUGUGGAUCUGCAAAGACAUUCAUUACCACCGGAAGAAUAUUAAUGUCAACAUAAUGUCGUCUUAUUGGGAAAAUCAUGAUUCCCAAAAAUGCCAAAACGAAGACCCUUGGUCGCAUAUGCACCUAUUGUCUACGGGUGCAAACAAACUAAUUCUUGUGCUCAUCAUAAUUCUCCAUGAGGCUGAAUCUUCUGAAAAGGUAAUCCAGUUUUACCUUUUCAUCCUCCAUAUUCCUUAGUAAAGAAACUAUAUCCAAUCCCAAAAGCCUUAAGAAAUCCUCCUUCCUUACAGGUGACGGGAGUACCGACAGCUUCCCUUGAAGCGGCAGCUCAGUAAAUUCACUGACUUCCUCCAGGGUAGGGGUGAUCUCAAAGUCCAAAAACCUGAAGGUCACUGUGUUUGGGUCCCAGAACUCCGUCAAUAGUGUAAUGAGGGUCUUAUUGGCUCAAACCCUCAUUAAUGACAAUAGAGCCCCCAAAUGUUCCCGAACUUCCACACCAUGUGCCACACGGAUGUUUCCCUACCAAUUCUGUAGGCUAUCAGGGGCAGAGAUGACCAUUUAGAUGUUUGGCAAAUUUUGAUUGAUAUUCAUUUGGUAGGAAAAAGAAAAAGGUAUAGUAAGUCGUUUAUCUCAAAUCCAUUAUGUGUUUUAGUUUAGAUCGUCAACAUCAAUCAUCACAUAAAAUAUGUCGAUAGGUUUGCAACCUUUGACAUAAAGGUGGUUUCCUAACUCCGAUGACGAUGCCUUGGACCGUCACGCCUAAAGUUUAUGCGACAUGACCUAUUUCUAGAGUAAGAUUUUUCCCUAAAUAUUUGAGAGUGGGACUGAAUAGCUGCGAGAAGGCGCACUAACCUAAUUACACCAACUCUGAAACUAAGAAAUCCAAAGAAGGUUUGGGGGAGUGUAGAUACCCCCCCCCCCCGCAUGAACCACAGUAUGUGAAUUGUGUACGGCCAAAGACUCGAUAGGAAAAUGCAAAUGAUAAAGCGGUAACAAGUAGUGCUGUACAAACAAAUAAGGAACAAAAUUUUGGAUUUGGCUUGUGUCCUUUCACACAAAGCAUGAAUAAAGUAUAAAAAUUCUAAACUAAGCAUGUUAAGGUUAAAACUUAAAUUCAUAAAAUUCCCAGCAGAGUCACCAUUCUGUUGAUGCCCUAUUUCGAACUGGUCGAAACAACACACGACGUAUGGUGGUAUGUCGUGACUCUUGGGAUUAAAAAAUUAUUUUUUAGAGUUGCCACCUAACUUUUUAGGAAAAUUAAGAAAGAACCAUUUUUUACUGUAAAACUCUGUUUUAGUCUAUCGAAAAGUUUUAGAGAUUCUGAGUAAGGGUUUUGGUUACACGAGGGAAAGGUGUUAGGCAUCCCUCAGGGCCUAUCCGAAGAUAGUCCUUACGCUUAGUUUAGGAAAAUAUUGGGAGAACAUUAUUUUGCCAUUUGCUAAAAAUGGUGAUAAGAAAACUUUGUUAUUAUUUAUUAUUCAAAAAAAAAAAAUUUAAAGUAUAUCAAACAUGACGCUACCACGUACAAAGAAAGUAAUGCAAUUACCACAAGAUAUAUAUGCAUUUUAAGUAUGAAAAGGAUGGUAAUAUGAUUUUUUAUAUAUUAUAAAAUUUAAAAUCUUGUAAUUCUAUAGGAGAAAUUGGAGAGAUAUGUAGAUUUAAGUAAUUAACCAUAAUUGUUUAUGGAGUAAUUAAAGUAUCUUAUAGCAUGAGAGUUUAUUUGUGAAAUGUACUUAAGAGUGUGAAGAAUGAAUGUUCGAUUAUGGAUGUGUGGAAACUAUGUAAAAAUAAUAGUGAUAAUGAUACCAAUUAUGACAAUAAUAAUAGUUGUAAUAAUAAUAAUAAUGAUUGAAAUAAUUGCAAAUAUUAUGGUGUAAACAAUAACGGUACUAAUAGAUAUGAUGUAAAAUAGUUGUGAAAAAUAAUACGAUGUACCAUGUACGUGGUAGCGAAAGAAUGUAUAUACCUCACAUUUUCUAAUCUUUCGAGAAUCUGAAAACCCGAAGGAACAUUAAAAGUAUAAAAUAAAACUUGAACAUUAGAGUUAUAUACUUAAAAAGGGUUUAAAUUGAUUAAUAGAUUCUCUAAAAAAAAUCUGAGAUUUGGAUAACUUUCUCGAUUAAGUAAAAACUGAAAAUUUAUUUAUCUUUUGUUAUAUUUUAAAGAAAAAUGCGAAGAUUGAUAAUCCUAUUUAGGAUAUUGAUAAUAAGUUUUCAAAAAAGUUGACUGAUUAUGGUUAAAAAUAAAAAAAAUUUCCUUAGUGAUAGCCACGUGUUAUUUGUGAAAGUCGGAAUGUUAAAACUACUUCUAAAGGGUCGACAAAUAACAAGAUAACAUAAAUUUUGAUAGUUAAGUUAUCUAAAAGAAAAUUCAAUAACAAAUGUUAGUAUCAUUCUAAAACUUAACAUGAUGAAUAUAAAUUAAAUUCAAAGAAGAUAAGAGAUACUAGACCCCAUUUAGGAGUUUGGGCUUCUAAUUUGCGCGACUCCGAAGCUCUGCGAUCCUAGUAGCGUUUGACCCGAUGUUUGGGUCGAAAUGAGUUCUGUUGCGAAACUCAAACUCCCAGGAUACUAGACCCCAUUUAGGAGUUUGGGCUUCUAAUUUGCGCGACUCCGAAACUCUGCGAUCCUAGUAGCGUUUGACCCGAUGUUUGGGUCGAAAUGAGUUCUGUUGCGAAACUCAAACUCCCAGGUUUACAUGAAAAAGAAGACGAUAAGGAUUAGUAACCUAAACAAAUAUUUCAGGAUAUAUAUACAUAUUUCAACUCAUCGAUCGUCCUAGAAUAAGAAUUUAACAGGAAAUGUAAUAUUGUAUAUUUUAAGAUAGUUGCAAAGCCAAAUUUAUAUUUCAAAGCACUAAAAUAGCAUGACUCCAGGUGACGUAUUCAUUAACAUAAUAGAAGCACUCAUUUGUUGUACCUCUUAACACUCAUUUGUUUAGAGAAAAUUGGAAGUUUGCCAUUAUUAGUAUUUUUAAUAAUAAUCUAAUCUGAUUAGUUGUUUUACUGCCAACUAAUGAGGAACUAUGAGGGGGAAUUUCUUAAUUAUAAAGAACCUGCAUUCUAAACAUCUUAGAAGACUAUGACAUAAACAAACACCGGGAAAUUUCACUAAGACUACACUGCGAGCAAGCAAAAUAUCAAACUCAAAAUGAAAGUGAAUCUCAAAUGUAGCUCCAUAGUAAGCACAAGAAUAAUUAUCUAAACGAGUGUCUUCUCCUCCGAAUGAUAAGAAAAUAUACUUUCAUUAUUCACAAACUCGUAUUUUAAUAGAAACGACAAAAUAUAGGAGUUCUAGUUGCUAGUAGAAUAUGACAUGGGUAAAGCUUUGUGAAUACAUUAGAAACCAAAAUAAAGUGAACGACGUCUUCAUCGAUGAGAGGGCUUCCACCGGGAUUAACCAAGAGGAAAAGAAGAAAGGAUUUAGCAUGUUCCGACUCAAGACUAUAUCCAGUUGAAAUUUAUUUUGGGAUUAAUUACUAGUGUUGGUCAUCCCAAAUUCUUUCAAGCACUUUUAAAGUUCAAGACUAAAAAAAAAAUUCUUGAUGUUGAAUUUCAAAGAGUGAUUUUUCAAUGGAAAACAUAAUGUCUUGCGUGAAUUACUCAAACACCAACAACAGAGAAAAAACAAUAGGAAGAUCAUACAGUGGGAUAUAACUCCACAAUGAAGAGUUGGAUGGCCUUUGAGGUAAACAUCAAAACACAAUCCUCUUUUAUUAGAAGUGAAAUCAUUCCUUAACACAAGAAAGGCAUAAGAGGAGAAGGACUAGAUUAUAUCUUAUUAUUUUAUUUUAUUUUUGAAAUCUGGACAAGUAACUAUAGGCAAGCCAAAAUAGAACUGACUUUGUCUUGAAAUUUGAUUCGAGAGGAAAUUCUCAACAUUACUAAAACCCAGCAUAUCAACAACGUAUAUUCAUAAAUUUGAUUUGGAGGCAGUGGACAAAGAUUCCAAACUUGGACUCGAAAAUGAAUCCCCAUAUUAACACACUUACAGAUUCAUACUCACACAAAAAAAUGACUCUCAAAAUCAUAUCCUUAUCCACAUACAGCAAAACAGUGGCAUCAAAUGCCAUAAUUAGAAUUUGAAACCAAAUCAGGUCGUAUAUUCACAAAAUCAGUUCAGAUCAUAGGUGAAAGAGAUGAAAUAAAGGAACUAAUUUUAUACGUCUCAUGUAUUUUGAACAUGAAGCACCAGUACAAAUGAAAACUUGAGAUGAGACCAAGGCCUUUGAACUUAAUUUAUCAAAUUGAAAGAGGGCUAGGACGACUUAUUAAUUCACGGAUAAGUUAAGCUAUGAAAUAAAUCCUUGAUCGAAGAGUUUUGACCAGACGACACAAUCAUAUUCUAAAGAAAACACUAUCUUUGGCGUCGCCAAGUUGUCAAAGUGGAGAUGAUUUAGUUUCUAAAUUAAAAUUGAGACUCCUAUAUCAGUACACACUAAGAAAUUUCUCUGGACGAAAACUUUUCGAAGGUUAUUUUCUUAGCCUAAUUAUCUGAAAGAAAAAAAAAAUUAUAUAUGUAACCUCAUAUAGUAUUACCACAUGAAAGAAAAUUAAUACUUCACAUCCUAAAGAUGAUGAACCAAAAGACAAAAACAUGACAAAUAAACUUCUUUUUUAACAGGAUAACAAACAAACUUUUCUGGUAAGCGCUUUAAAGUUUGCAUUCAUUACUGAUAAAUCACCGAUACGUCAGUACAAAAUUAGUUGGGAAUGACAUUUAUGGUCAUCGAGAAGUUCUUUAGGUAAAUAGUAAAUGUACUUAACACAUGAUCUAAUUCGCAAAUAGCAGUAUUCGGAGCAAGAUGAACGAACACGUAAAACAUUUCACAUAUACACAACAAAAUAGAGAAAUACGUGGAACAAGGGAUUUUCACCCUAACAGCCUCGGAUCCAAAUUAGCAGGAAUAGAAUUUGAACUUAAAUCACGAAAAAGGAACUCCCAACAAACCACAUCUAAUCCUGAAUCGAGUUAAACCACGUGUUCACUUAUCAUCCACCAAAUGGCUUCACGAAACCAGCACCAUGUUUUAUCCAUAAGAUAGGGGAAGCGACAACAAACACAAACUUAACAAAAAUCAAAUACAAAUCCAAUUUCAAAAUCAGUCACCGAUAACUUGAAGAUCAAAAUUCAUACAGUCAUUCAUUUUAACAAUAUCAGCACCGAGCUUUAACGAAUUUAAACUUAAACUAAACUAACAUGCUUACUGAACCAAACAAGACAAAAAGAAAAAGGAUGGAGGUGAGACGGGAUACGUACC
rnacentral:lncRNA from 1 species